rnacentral:rRNA from 1 species
UGACACCCAGGCAGGCGUGCCCUCGGCCUAAUGGCUUCGGGCGCAACUUGCGUUCAAAGACUCGAUGGUUCACGGGAUUCUGCAAUUCACACCAAGUAUCGCAUUUCGCUGCGUUCUUCAUCGAUGCCACACAGACUAUAC